rnacentral:lncRNA from 1 species
AUAAUUCCUGCCCUUCGGUCCUUGGCAUCUGCUACUUACAAGAAGCUCUGAAAUUGCUGAUAAUAAGAUAAGAUUUGUGAUGCUGAUCUUUAGCUUUAUAGGAAUGAAUCCUAUUCCCUCCUCCAUAGCUUGAAAGCUUUUCUUUUCUUUUCUUUUGUGUAAAUAUAUAUAUAUGCUUGGCUUGAUUCUUGUGCUUUGAAGGGAAGAAGAAUUAUGAAGGACUGGGCUGCUCCUCUGAUAGCGGCGGCGCUGUUUGCGUUUCUGUCGCCGGGAUUGGUGUUUCAGAUUCCAGGGAAAGAAGGACCUUUUGAGUUCAUGAAAAUGAAGACUAGCUUAGCCUCCAUAUUCGUCCACAUGGUUAUCUAUGGUUUGCUUCUUAUUUUGUUUUUUGUUGUUCUUCACAUCCAUCUCUAUGUCUAGCUAUCUACUAUUGUAGUUGGGUUAAUUUUUCUUCUUCUCCUUUGUUGAAUACACAGAAUUCCUUCGAUACAUGUUUCUUGAUUUGCUUCUUUAUGCUUUUUAACUGGGUUUAAUCUGUUGGCUAAAUCACUUGAUUAAUAUACUCAGUUCAAGUCUUCAUUCCUCUGAUUCUAAAAAAAAAAAAAAAAUUAUCAGGUAAUUCCUGCUCAGUAGAGAUUUAUUUGCACAUAAUUGUGUUAAUUUUUUAAAAAAUUUAUUUUAGACCGUUUAAAAAUUAUGAUCACAUCAUUCUUUUAUUUUGUUUCUCAUUCUAAAUAUACUAAAACCACAAAGUAUACUUAGUUGAUAUUAAUAUAUUUUAUUUUUAAAAUUAAAAUUAAAUAAUAAAAAAUUAAUUAUUUUAUUACAUAAAAAAUAUUUUCUAAAUACAACAUAUUUUUGAAAAACAAACAGAGGCUUAUUUUCAUCUCUAAAAGAAAUAAUAAUAAUUCUAUUAAACUACCUAGCUAAAUGAAAUAGAAGAAUUUGCAAUUUAAUUUAAAUUUAUACAGAUCAAGUUACAAAAUAAUUACUUCUUACUUAAAUUUAAGAUGAAAAAUUGUAAAAAGUAUAUAAACUUUAAAAAUUAUGACUUGAUAUAUAUAAUAUUAGAGCAAAUUGACAGUAGCAGUUGAGAGAGAAAUCCUCAGAAUUGUAGAGGAGGCAGGCUAUGGCUAUGAACCAAAGUACAUGUGGACUUCAACAGCUAACAAGAAGAUGCUAAUGAGAGCAAAGUAAAAGAUAGAGUGAACCAGUAUGGAAAUUCCACUUGUUUCAAAAUUUCCGAACUCGAUGAAUCUGUGACCACUGGUACCUGAAUCAGCAAACCUGGAGUUAAAAUUAUAAAUAGCACAACAGUAACGAACACAGCUCCCCAAUCCGACAUCGUUCCGCUCUUGUCGGAUCUCAGCUGCUUGUGAUCACUCUGAGCUGAUCAAUAAUUGAAAAUGGAUUUGACUGGGAGAGAGAUGAGAUUAUAAGUUGAGGUGAAAGUGUUUGUUGAAAAGCCAAUAUUAGAAAAUGAAGCAAUUCCAAUUGGGAUUCAUUUUCAUAUGCCGCUACGCCACAAAGGAAACUUCCGCGUAAAUACCCAUUGGUAGGCUAAAAUGAGUACAACAUCUCAUAUCUGGUUUGCUCAAAAGCAACUCCCCUCCUUUUUUCUUCAUUCAAUUAAAAUAAUUAUAUAAAUUUACACAUUUUAUAAUAGUCAUUGGUCGUGUUAAAUCUCAUUAUUAUCAAUAAUUAGUAUCAAUCCG